rnacentral:tRNA from 1 species
GCCCCUGUGGUGAAAUAGUAAUCACGCAAGUUUGUGGAACUUGAGUCUUUGGUGCGAUUCCAAGCGGGGGUACCA